GAUGAACGCUGGCGGCGUGCCUAACACAUGCAAGUCGAACGUGAAGCGAGCUGUCUUUGAUGGCUUGUGGAAAGUGGCGAACGGGUGAGUAAGGCGUAGGUGACCUGCCUGGCAGUGGGG
rnacentral:rRNA from 1 species